UACACAAAACCCAAGAAGAAUUUUAACAGCUUGUUGCUUGGGAAUGAAACAACUUACACCUUUGGUGAUUGGUCACACUUUCACAAGUAAGGUUCAAAGUUUUUGUGACACUGGACACAAGUUAUACAACCUUGGAAUGAAAAAAAAUCAACCCCUGGUUGACAGCUGUAUUGGAGAUAAUGAGCUGUUAGAAGGAAGAUAAUGAUUACAUAAAGAAUUUUGCUUGCCAUGAACUUUGGAAAUCCCAGUGGACUGUUAAUUCUUUUCCAGCCAAAAGUCGAAAAUAGCCUUUUAAUAACAAAAUAAAUUCUUCUGCAUCUCUGUCUUCCAUGCUGAAAUUUAGAGUCUAAAUGAAG